rnacentral:tRNA from 1 species
GCCGGGGUGGCGGAACGGUAGACGCAAGGGACUUAAAAUCCCUCGGGAGCAAUCCCAUGUGGGUUCGAUUCCCACCCCCGGCA